rnacentral:tRNA from 1 species
CACCAGUUAGCCUAGUGGUUAAGGCUAUGGACCGCCAAUCCGAAGACGGCGGGUUCGAGUCCCGUUCUGGUCA